rnacentral:rRNA from 1 species
CCGCAUAAGCCCACGGGUCGGCAUCGACCAGAGGGAAAAGGAGCAAUCCGCUUUGAGAUGGCCUCGCGUCCGAUUAGCUAGUUGGUGAGGUAACGGCCCACCAAGGCGACGAUCGGUAGCCGGACUGAGAGGUUGAACGGCCACAUUGGGACUGAGACACGGCCCAGACUCCUACGGGAGGCAGCAGUGGGGAAUAUUGCACAAUGGGGGAAACCCUGAUGCAGCGACGCCGCGUGGAGGAAGAAGGUCUUCGGAUUGUAAACUCCUGUUGUUGGGGAAGAUAAUGACGGUACCCAACAAGGAAGUGACGGCUAACUACGUGCCAGCAGCCGCGGUAAAACGUAGGACACAAGCGUUGUCCGGAAUUACUGGGUGUAAAGGGAGCGCAGGCGGGAAGACAAGUUGGAAGUGAAAUCUAUGGGCUCAACCCAUAAACUGCUUUCAAAACUGUUUUUCUUGAGUAGUGCAGAGGUAGGCGGAAUUCCCGGUGUAGCGGUGGAAUGCGUAGAUAUCGGGAGGAACACCAGUGGCGAAGGCGGCCUACUGGGCACCAACUGACGCUGAGGCUCGAAAGUGUGGGUAGCAAACAGGAUUAGAUACCCUGGUAGUCCACACCGU